AUACGGAGGAUCCGAGCGUUAUCCGGAUUUAUUGGGUUUAAAGGGUGCGCAGGCGGGAGAUUAAGUCGGCGGUGAAAUUUUGCAGCUCAACUGUAAAAGUGCCUUCGAAACUGGUUUCCUUGAGUGUGGAUGAAGUAGGCGGAAUUUGUGGGGUAGCGGUGAAAUGCAUAGAUAUCACGAGGAACUCCGAUUGCGCAGGCAGCUUACUAAGCCAUAACUGACGCUCAGGCACGAAGGCGUGGGGAUCAAACAGGAUUAGAUACCCUGGUAGUCCACGCAGUAAACGAUGAUUACUAGCUGUUUGCGAUACAAUGUAAGCGGCUGAGCGAAAGCGUUAAGUAAUCCACCUGGGGAGUACGUUCGCAAGAAUGAAACUCAAAUGAAUUGACGGGG
rnacentral:rRNA from 1 species